GGUGAGGCAGGGCGGGUCGAGGCGUGGUGGGGUGAGUGGGUGCAAGGCGGGGCGUGGCAAGGCGUGGCAGGCGAGGCGGGGCAGGGCGGGUCGAGGGGAAGCGAGGCGGGGUGAGGCGAAGCGAUUCGGGGCAGGGCGAGACGGGGUAAGGUUGGGCGAGGCGGGGCCAGGCGGGGCAAAGCGGGGUGAGGGGAAGCGAGGCGGGGCGAGGUGGGGUGCGGUGGGGCGAGACGGGGUGAGGCGAGGCAUGGCAUGUGAGGCUGGGCGAGGCGGGGCGUGGCUAGGUGGGGUGGGGCGCGGCGGGGCGAGGCGAGUGUGGGCAAGGCUAGGCGGGGCGAGUGGUGGCGAGGCAGGGCGAGACGAGGCGUGGCAGGCUGGGUAGGGCAGGGCACUGUGAGAAGAAGCGAGGCGGGGCAAGGUGGGGCAAGGUGAAACCAGUUGGGGCGAGGCGAGGCAUGGCAGGUGAGGCGGGGCGAGGCGGGGCGAGGCUAGGCAGGGUGGGGC
ensembl:lncRNA